rnacentral:lncRNA from 1 species
UCCUCUGUUACCUGAUCAAUAAUGAUAAAUAACGAAACAAUAAUAAUAUACUUAUUUGUGAAUCCGAAUAUGUCAGAAAUGAAAUGCACAAAUCCAUUCUAUGAUUCUGUAAAUAAGUGUUUCAGUAUAAGCUCAGUAAAGCAACAUGCCUAAAAUUUAUUCAGCUGGCUUAUAUAAAAUAAUAGCCGAAUGUCAGAAAUUGAAACUCUGUGAUUUCUUUCCCAGCUGCUAAAUGCAUAGCAAAUGAUGAUAAACAGAAACCUAU